UGCACUUCACCGGUGAGUUCAUUUACUCCUUCAGUGAUCAAGACGUUGAUGCUUACAUGUGUCAUUUACUUCCUUCACUCUUUUCUUUCUUUCCAGAAUCAACUCAACUGACCGAGUGUCUCAAUCACACAGUGGUGGAGUUUAUUGAUCAGAAUCAGACACAAUGGCAGAUUAUUAUCAUCAUAUCUGGACUGAUGAACGGGCUGCUGCUCAUUGUGCUGAUCGUUUUUGCAGUUAGAAAAACAGAACGGCUGGACAAAAACAUUUAUAAUGCUGAUUUACUGCUGACAAAAGUUAUGUAUCAGCCUCAGGACCCAAACCAGUCAGGAUGCUGAGAGGGAGUUUAUGAGCUGCAUAAAAUAUUCAGCAUCCAAAUGCAGCAACUGUACGUGUAAC